rnacentral:lncRNA from 1 species
ACACAUAUAUUCUGUUACUCAUGAUAAUUAAAUUAAUGACAAUUUAAUAAAAGGCAUGGAAUCAAAAGUUCACAAUAUUUUCAAUUAUCAUCCAUUAUACUAAUGUCCAAUUAUCAUAAAUUUAUCUUCAUAGUGCAAAAUUUUAGUUUUAGACAUUAAUUUUUUGUUACCUUAGAUUUCCUACUUAAUGCAAAAUCUUAUAAUGAGACAAACAUGCAUAAAAUAUAUCACAGAAUUUUUACAUAAAAAAUAUUCAUACAUAAUAAGAAACAAAUAUUCAUUAGUUCCUAUACAGCUACAAUAUUUACAACCAUCAAGAAUAAUACUCAUUUAAUCCUCUUCUUUGGAUUUAAUUGACUUAAGAACUUUAUCCCUAAUCCUAUCUCCCACUCCUUAUGCCAAUAGACCAUAAUUCAUCUUAUCAAAACUAACAUGGCCAUAAGAUCGGAGCCUACCAUCCAUAGACAACAUAAAAUUGUGUUUAACGGCACUAGUCAAACAAUGAUCUCAUUCAUUUAUAAGCAACAAUUUUAAAUUUUUAUAUAUCUUGCUUAUUUCAACAUCUUUCCAAAAAUCUGUCAUAAUUUUAAACCAAUCUUAUGGUAGAGUUUCUGCC